rnacentral:misc_RNA from 1 species
GAUGAAGAACGUAGCGAAAUGCGAUAAGUAAUGUGAAUUGCAGAAUUCAGUGAAUCAUCGAAUCUUUGAACGCACAUUGCGCCCGCCAGUAUUCUGGCGGGCAUGCCUGUUCGAGCGUCAUUUCAACCAUCAAGCCCCCGGCUUGUGUUGGGGACCUGCGGCUGCCGCAGGCCCUGAAAAGCAGUGGCGGGCUCGCUGUCACACCGAGCGUAGUAGAUUUCAUCUCGCUCAGGGCGUGCUGCGGGUUCCGGCCGUUAAACCACCUUCAUAACCCAAGGUUGACCUCGGAUCAGGUAGGAAGACCCGCUGAACUUAAGCAUACAAUAAGCGGAGGA